GGCACAAAGAAGCCGCAGGGAGGCUGAAGGAGCUCACUCAGCAGUCUGGAACAGGGACUUGAACUGCAAUGACACUCUUAUUGAGAAAAGGGAAGAAUGGGAAAAACAGAGUCCUUGGUUAAUAGCAUGAUGGAACCCUCUGGUAUGAAGACCCUCUGCCUGCACAAAAGACAUCGGAUUCAGAUCUACAUAGAAACAAAACGACAUGGCACACCAGCAAAACUGAGCCAUUUGGAGCUAUGGCAUAAAAAUCUUCUAUAUCUGAAUAUUUCAUGGCAGAAUGCCGGCGCUUUCCUGUAAACUCGCAGAUAACACGUGCAGAGUACUGUUGAUGGGCAAAGAAAAGGAGGCCAAGAGGCUAACCUAGAAGGACUGGGGAUUUGUAUUUUGGAAGAAGAUCCCAGUGAUUCUUUAAGGAGCAGCAAAUGUUUCAUCCUCGGCAUGCGGCCACGUGUCAUCAGAAAUGGCUAUGCGUGUCAGUGCUGACACGCGUGUCAUAGGUUCGCCAUCACUGCCCUACACUCUUCCUCCAUCCAGAGGAAAAAUGUGA